GAGUUUGAUUAUGGCUCAGAGUGAACGCUGGCGGCGUGCCUAAUACAUGCAAGUCGAACGGAGAUUAAGUAGCUUGCUAUUUAAUCUUAGUGGCGCACGGGUGAGUAAUAUAUAGCUAAUCUGCCCUACACUAGAGGACAACAGUUGGAAACGACUGCUAAUACUCUAUACUCCUUCUUCACAUAAGUUAAGUCGGGAAAGUUAAUAAAAUUUGCUUUUUGGUUUCAUCUUGAGAGAUAUGGACGUAUAACAACUAAAUUGAUACGCCGAUGUGGCAAACAUCGGUGUGCUUUAGGUGGGUCAAGGGAGCGCUUGCGCUUCUUGUCGCAAAGAAAGGCUUUGCCUUUCUGCGAAGUCCGUAUUUGUCAAGAUGAAAUCUUGCAAAUGUAUUUUUUCGGUGUAGGAUGAGGCUAUAUCGUAUCAGCUAGUUGGUGAGGUAAUGGCUCACCAAGGCUAUGACGCGUAACUGGUCUGAGAGGAUGAUCAGCCACACUGGAACUGAGACACGGUCCAGACUCCUACGGGAGGCAGCAGUAGGGAAUAUUGCUCAAUGGGGGAAACCCUGAAGCAGCAACGCCGCGUGGAGGAUGACACUUUUCGGAGCGUAAACUCCUUUUCUUGGGAAAGAAUUAUGACG
rnacentral:rRNA from 1 species